rnacentral:rRNA from 1 species
AUGGUGGUGGUUGCGAGCUCCUGCGCAGGGGGAAGGAGAGGACAGCCUGGUGGUGGUGCUGGAGGAACACGGCGCCGGCUUCGGGGAGCUCCCUCAGGCGCGGCUGGAGGACGGAGAUACCAGAGACGCAUCCAGGGAGGCGGGUGCUGCACGGAGGCUCGACGAGGGCCGGAUCAAUGCUCGGGGACGGGCGCGUCCAUGGGCGGCGUCCUGCUGGUGGUCGGCGGCGCGGCGCCAUGGCCGAGGCCAAGGUCAGGGCCACGAGAAUCGGGUGUCGCCCUUGGAGGCGCUGGAUCGAUCAGGCACGGGAGCGAGAGGUUGGGGUAUCGAGCAGUUUUUUUAAGAGUCCAAAAAUGUUGGGAAGACAAGAAGAGUCUCGAUAAAAGGGAAACGAAUUGUUGGCAAAGUUUGGAGGUGAAACUUGAAGCAGAAGACACUUGA